UGCAAUUCACAAAGAAAAUAUCAAGCGUUAGACAAUUCCAGAUUCACGACUUUUUCUUUUGGUUCCAGGAAAAUACAAAUCAAUCUCAGAAAGAAGAAAUCCCAUGUAAUUCUGGGGUAGGAAUGAAACAUCCGAGCCUUUCUAAGAAAUGAAACUUAAUUUAACAGAGAAUGCCCAGUUUGGACACUCAGAAAAAUUAAGGGAAAAAAAAAAGCCUGAUUCUGGUAAAGUACGACCUACACUUCACAAUAUGAAAAUCAAAACUGAGAAAACCUCAUUUUCACAAAAGGGAAUGAAAAACGAACUCAAUUGAGAAACAAGAAACUCAACGCAUUGAAUCCAAAUGCCAUAAAAGGAUUGAAAAACAGAGGAUUCACA
rnacentral:lncRNA from 1 species